UGGGGAAUUUUGGACAAUGGGCGAAAGCCUGAUCCAGCAAUGCCGCGUGUGUGAAGAAGGCCUUCGGGUUGUAAAGCACUUUUGUCCGGAAAGAAAUCCUUGGCUCUAAUACAGUCGGGGGAUGACGGUACCGGAAGAAUAAGCACCGGCUAACUACGUGCCAGCAGCCGCGGUAAUACGUAGGGUGCAAGCGUUAAUCGGAAUUACUGGGCGUAAAGCGUGCGCAGGCGGUUUGCUAAGACCGAUGUGAAAUCCCCGGGCUCAACCUGGGAACUGCAUUGGUGACUGGCAGGCUAGAGUAUGGCAGAGGGGGGUAGAAUUCCACGUGUAGCAGUGAAAUGCGUAGAGAUGUGGAGGAAUACCGAUGGCGAAGGCAGCCCCCUGGGCCAAUACUGACGCUCAUGCACGAAAGCGUGGGGAGCAAACAGGAUUAGAUACCCUGGUAGUCCACGCCCUAAACGAUGUCAACUAGUUGUUGGGGAUUCAUUUCCUAGUAACGUAGCUAACGCGUGAAGUUGACCGCCUGGGGAGUACGGUCGCAAGAUUAAAACUCAAUGAAUUGACGGGGUCAUAGCUGUUUCCU
rnacentral:rRNA from 1 species